CUGCUAUAAAUGCCGGGUUGAUGCCCACAGAAAGGCACAGCACGAGGUCAACUCUUCAUAACUCCUUCCGACUCGUCAGCAUUACUUCCGUCGCUUCAACAUGAGCUGCCCAUCGAAGAAGUGUGAAGACCUGGAGGCCAAGUUCAAGGCUCUGGACAAGGAUGGCAACAAGAGCCUGAGCAAGGCGGAGCUGAAGGCCGGCCUCUCGAUCCUUGGACUCAGCGAGGCUCAACUGGACAGCUUCUACGUGGCAGCAGACAAGGACAAGGAUGGCAAGAUCAGUAUGAGCGAGUUCGUCAGAUACUUCCAGCAAAAGAAGUAAAGAGUGGAAGCUGAAAACCGACCACAUGGCCCCGUGCAACACUGCAACACCACUCGGACACACACCACCAGUCGCGCACACACACCCACAAUGCACACGAUGCACACUCACACACACACCCACGAUGCACACUCACACACCGCCAACACGUGCAGACCACCAACACGUGUUGGAGGCACACACCGGCUCAGCACACACUUCUUUCACACGAAUGCAAAACGUCCCAAAAAAUGAAAGUGCUUAGCACGUAAAAUAUCUCUUUUAUACGUGAAAUGUAAUGCAAUUGACACCCUAGAUGCAUAUUACGAUCCUCUACGACAGAUAUUUCAGACAUAUGUGCAGUCCAUCAAUACAUACUCUACAUGCAUUUACUAAUAACAGAAUAUACACGCACGAUACAAAAUUAUCUCAAAUGCUGUCUGGUUUUCUCUCUUUCCUGUGGGGUUUUUGGUGAGGUGAUACGAAUGAAUUGAACUGGAAAUAAAAUGACAAUCUACCAGUG